AGGAGCAGUGAAGUAGUUCACUUUUGCUAACAGCACUGUGCUUUAAAUGGAGGGAGUCAAGUCUUCCACACUCUCCCUAAUUGGCCCCCUCACUUUUUCCUUUUUACUGCUGUCUCCUCUUCCUCCAACAGAAAAGGAAGAGAGCAAAGUAGGUAACAAUCCAAAAGGAGCAACUCUCAAGAAGAGGCAAGAGAUGGUUUAACUCAUUCUAAAUCUUUAUUCUGCAGCAGUAAGGAGAGUAGUUCCGUAGAUGGUCUACCAUGAGGUUCAGGAACUAAAGACCCCCAUCAAUGCACAAAAGGAUCAGAGUUCCAGUUCCACUGCACAGAUUGGAGAAUAUGUGAAUAUUGCCCAGCAGAAACUGAAAUCAACUUUCCACAUUUACAUUUUACAGUAGAUAAUGCCUUCCGAACCCUUUAAAAAUGUAUCAAUGUGCGUUGAAGCUCCCUAAAUACUGAUUCAAUAUUUCUAAUGUAAGACUAGGACCACAAUUAUGGCUUCUUGCAUAUAAUGUAAAAAAUUCCACAGCAAAUUUAAUAGACACUUCAGUUUCCAAAGUGACACCAUCAUUUGUGUGUGUGUGCGCCCUGGCUGGCAAUACUGUUGAAUGUGCAUUCCCAAUACACAUGUAAAUGGUGAACUGAACAAAAUAUACUGUUAGGUGAGGGAAUCUUGACAGUUUAAUGCUGUAUGUUACAAAUUUCUGAAAGAACAAAUUUCGUCUAUUGGAAAAAGAUAUCUUCUUCAUAUGACUUACAAUGUCAUGAUCAGAGCAGUCCUUUUAUUUUUCUUAUAAGUCAGAAAAUAAAAUAAACUCCAAUAAGACAGAAAAUUGAGCAACUGUGUCAAGGGCAGCCCUUCCCUUUAGUUCUAUAGCAAAGCGAGGCAAGUGGAGAGAUCAAGUGAGGAAGUGUAAAUCAUUCAUGGGCCUGAUGUGUAGCUUUUCUUGCUAACCAGAUUCAUUUUCCUAAAUGGUGUUUGGGAUUAGAUGUAUGUGGGUCAGUAAUACUCUGUGAGGGAUGCUAUACUUGCAGAGUCCGGGGCUAAUUAGCUCAGACCAUGACUCAGCACGAACAUCUCUCUUCUACAAUUGCAUCCAUCUGUGGCUGAAGAGCUGCGCUAAUCAGGAAGCUACCCCAACCAGCAAAGAUCAGAACAACUGAAAAAAGGGUAUUCACAAUAAAAAGUCAAAGUUUAAUCUAGAAAGUUGGCAGCUGGAGGAGAUCAACACAAACAGGUUAGUAAGAGAAAAAUCUGAGAGAAUGAGAGAUGAAGGGCUUUUUCUCUGGAUACACACAUUUCUUAGGCAAAGGAAAAGCUUAUAGAGGGUGUUGAAAGGCCAGGACUCAUGCAGUAUCAUCAUAAAGCACAUAUGUUUUCCCCACACCUGUUGAAAUCUGCUCUAUGGGGAUAGAUUUCUUCCACUCCAGAGUAAAAUCUCCACCUAGUCCCAAAGCUUAUUUGCUCACUCUUAGACCGCAAGAAACCCCCACGCCAUUUUGGUAAAAAAAAAAAAAAGUUUCAGUUCUGUAGUUAAUAUUUCCAGUCCAGUAUAAUAAUCAAACGUCUGAAGUUAUUCAAAGAUACUUUCUCCUCUCACUCAAGUCUGGUGCUGUCUGGAAAUGGGAAAGCGAGGAGGAAGACAGGCUCAACUUUUCUGAUGUUUCCAGCCUCUUAAGGGGAGGGAAAGAUCCCAUUGUGCUAUCACUGGUGUGAGUAGCUACACUGUUUAGUGGGACUGGAAUAUGUAUAAAGCGGAUUUUUUUUAUUUUGUGGAGCACUCCAUCCCUAGGGAGCUGUUCUCAAUAGGGCAGAGGUACGAGAGAAGAAACUGCCACCCUUCCUCCAUGCUGGCAAGGAAGGUUGAAAUUCUCUUUGUCUCCAAUACAACUCUUUUAUAACCCCAGGUGUCUGGGGCCAAGGGACACAAAAAAGAUUUUAGACACCACUUUGCACAGUGUGAAUAGAAGGCCUUGCACCUCAAUUUGGGCUGUGGGUGUAUUUCUCAUGUAUUGUUAUGAGGCAAGCAGCCCCUAAGGAGGACACUGCAGUCAGAAAUGCCAAUUCCAAAAUUACUUGUCACCUUACUGCCUGACUUUGCUUAUAGAUCAUUCUUAACAUACAGACCCUUUCCCCGUGACUACACAGUGCCAUUGAUUACAUUCAUUUCACUUUAGAUAUUUCUGUUUCUAGCCUCUGUUCCAGCACUGCAGUGAUGAAUUCAAGUUCCCUCUGUGCUCUGCAAAAUGCCUGCAGCAAACAGCUCAUCAAGAGAAUCCUACAGAAAUGCCUCUACAGCUGGGGUCAGAGUGGCUUUUGAGACCUUCUUUAACUCAGAGGGAGAGAGCAAAACAAAUUCUUUCAAGCUGAUUAUUACCUGGAAGAUUCUCCCACUGUAAGGUUGUUUCUUAUCUUCUUCUACGAGACGUCGCCCUUCUGAAAGAACCCUGCAUCUGUAAUAUGGUUCAUGGAUCCGGGCUGUUCUGCAUCAAAGCCAUCAAAGGCACUUUGAAUCUGGAGGGAGCACGUUACAGAAGAAAGAGAAACAUGAGCUGCAGUUGUUGUUAGACCUUGAGUGCAUUUCCAGUUCUGACCUUCACAAGCUCUCAUGGAGUGCCAAGCAGUGCUAUGUCUGCACCUGGGAUCCGAACUGGUGAACCCCGGGCCGCGGAGAAGCGGCACGUGUGAAUUUAACUGCU
ensembl:lncRNA